rnacentral:pre_miRNA from 1 species
UCUUAUGAAUGAGCAAAGAAAGUGGUUUCUUGGGAUGGGAUCUACUCCUGCUAAAGACACUGUGAA